UUUGUUCUUAUAAUCAGAAAGUUGCUUAUCACUGCCCUGUGAAGAAGAUUAACAUAAUUUAAACCAGCAGCUUUGCACAAGAGCUACUCAAAAGCCCACAGAAUUUACCAGAAAAUAGGCAGUUUUCUAGACCUUUCUCCAUUCCGAAGCGCUCCUCUGAAGCGCUGAUGGCAAUUGUAUCGUGAUAUCUGUGAUACAAUUUUCUAUGCCAUUCUACUGGGUGGUACUGGGCACCCUCAUGAGUUACCAUUUCCCACAGUGCUAUAGAGGUCCUUUCUAUAGUGGCUGCAUACAACUCACUUGGUUCUAUGAGCACCAGGACCCAGUUACUUUACGUAUGUAGCAAAAGGGACUUCAGUUUCAGCUGGAACAUAAGAACGAAUAUAGUGGUUUCAGCCCAGCUGACCUGGGAGGAAAGAACGUUUCUGUGUGGCAUCAAGUUUGCACACUCUCCAGCAAAUGAUAAGAGAUGAUUAAAUAAAUGGAUCUUAUGUCUUCUGUUCCUCUCAGCCUGGUAGCUUUUCUCAAAUACUCCUGACAAAUAGCUCCUGUCCCACCCCUCAGCUCCACCUUCUUCCAUAAUUCAUACAACUCCUGGGGAGAAACCAGGCUGUAAAUCUUACAGACAUGUAUCCAAAAGAAGUAUCGUCCAUAUCAUUAAUAUAACCAUCUCUAUAUUUUACUGACACUUACGUCUUCUAGUGAAGCACUCCUCUCUUUAAGAAAUAGUAAGAAUCUCAAGAAAAUCUAAUAAUUACUCCGUGUUAAGUAACACAAGGUUUUUGACUUCUGUUUGUCAGUUGGAUUGUUCCUGAUAUCUGGAGGGAUUUACAUAUAAAAACAAAACCAACACCUGUUUGCUUGCAGAUAACACGUUGAACAAAACCCUCUGUUCUGAAAAAGAUCAUCUGUAACGCGUUCCCAUUUAAAGAUCCCUUUGUACUGCAAGAGCCACAUGAAGCAGUCGCUAUGGACAGGCGUGGCACCCCAAGUGAAUCUAAUGAUGUGGAAGAAGGAGGGACACAGAACCUUCACAAAAGGCCCCGUGAAACCCUCCCCAUGCACGACAGCCCUCCACCAGCCUCUUCAGUGGUCACUCACAGCCGGGUGAGAAGAGCAGCUAAAGAUGGAAGAAGAAAGACAGAGACCAGCAAGAAACCUCUGCAGGCUCACCUGUGAAAUCACAAGAAGCAGUGUACAGCCCCAAAGAAAGCAGUGGGUUCUUGUUGACCAGGAUGGAAAGAUGACCUGAAAUUGUAAAGGAUUGAGUACUGAAUUAUUUAAAUUGUGGAAGGAAAGCAUCCCACCUUCUAAACCCUUAGUGCUUACAGCAAGAGGAAAGAUGCAUCCAAAUGUCAAAACUGCAGGAGAAACAACAAUUAUUUCUAAGGUUCAUUACAAAGUGGAGAUGUCUGGGGAAGUGCUGACGCUUGAGUGUUGACUUUGGUAGAAUCUCCAUCUUUUCUCCCUCCUUGUUUUUGGUUCUCUCCCUCGCACGUUGCACCCUGCACUCCUAAAGCUCAGGUAAAAUCAGCACAAAAGCUGUCUGUGUGAAGUGUUGAGGGGCAAUAACCCCAUUAGGGACUUCCCACAGUGCCAGCCUGCAUUACUGCCAAGGCUCAUCUGACCCAUUCUCCCUCCAUGAUGUAUCUGUCUUACAGUCUUCUCACAAAUCUCUGAUGGUUGAAAAAUCUGGCAACAUCUGAAAAACAUUUUUAGAACCCAUCAACACUAAGGCAGAAAAAGAAAUAGAAAAUUCACUAGAAAACAGAUGAACUAUCAGAUUAAAAUAUAUAUAUAUAUAUAUAUAUCCUAAUAUAUGUUUUAGACUUUGGAGAUUUGGAAGAAAAAAAUCUCUCUCUUUUUUUUAACCUGAUUUUUUUCCCAAUAAAAAAUUGUAGCAAAUUCU
ensembl:lncRNA